rnacentral:rRNA from 1 species
GAUGAACGCUGGCGGCGUGCCUAAUACAUGCAAGUCGAGCGAACAGACGAGGAGCUUGCUCCUCUGACGUUAGCGGCGGUCGGGUGAGUAACACGUGGAUAACCUACCUAUAAGACUGGGAUAACUUCGGGAAACCGGAGCUAAUACCGGAUAAUAUAUUGAACCGCAUGGUUCAAUAGUGAAAGACGGUUUUGCUGUCACUUAUAGAUGGAUCCGCGCCGCAUUAGCUAGUUGGUAAGGUAACGGCUUACCAAGGCGACGAUGCGUAGCCGACCUGAGAGGGUGAUCGGCCACACUGGAACUGAGACACGGUCCAGACUCCUACGGGAGGCAGCAGUAGGGAAUCUUCCGCAAUGGGUGAAAGCCUGACGGAGCAACGCCGCGUGAGUGAUGAAGGUCUUCGGUUCGUAAAACUCUGUUAUUAGGGAAGAACAAAUGUGUAAGUAACUAUGCACGUCUUGACGGUACCUAAUCAGAAAGCCACGGCUAACUACGUG